rnacentral:rRNA from 1 species
UACGAAGGGGGCUAGCGUUGCUCGGAAUCACUGGGCGUAAAGCGCACGUAGGCGGACUCUUAAGUCGGUGGUGAAAUCCUGGAGCUCAACUCCAGAACUGCCUCCGAUACUGGGAGCCUUCGAGUCCGGGAGAGGUGAGUGGAACUGCGAGUGUAGAGGUGAAAUUCGUAGAUAUUAGGAAGAACACCAGUGGCGAAGGCGGCUCACUGGCCCGGUACUGACGCUGAGGCACGAAAGCGUGGGGAGCAAACAGG